UACGUAGGGGGCGAGCGUUGUCCGGAUUCACUGGGCGUAAAGGACGCGCAGGCGGCCCGAGGGGUCCGUCGUUAAAGCCCGGGGCUUAACUCCGGGUGGUCGGCGGGGACCGGCGGGCUUGGAGGCCGGUAGAGGGAUGCGGAAUUCCCGGUGUAGUGGUGAAAUGCGUAGAGAUCGGGAGGAACACCAGAGGCGAAAGCGGCAUCCUGGGCCGGGCCUGACGCUGAGGCGUGAAAGCGUGGGGAGCGAA
rnacentral:rRNA from 1 species